CAGCCGUAAACAAUGUGCGUUAGGUGUGUCGGUAACCACGCGUUACUGAUGCGCCGAAGAGAAAUCGUGAAACGCACCACCUGGGAAGUACGGUCGCAAGGCUGAAACUUAAAGGAAUUGGCGGGGGGAGGCCCACAACAGGUGGAGCCUGCGGUUUAAUUGGAUUCAACGCCGGACAUCUCACCGGAUAAGACAGCUGAAUGAUUGUCAAUCUGAAGGUUUUACAUGACUAGCUGAGAGGAGGUGCAUGGCGUCAGUGACU
rnacentral:rRNA from 1 species